rnacentral:rRNA from 1 species
AGCGAACGCUGGCGGCAGGCCUAACACAUGCAAGUCGAGCGCCGUAGCAAUACGGAGCGGCAGACGGGUGAGUAACGCGUGGGAACGUGCCCUUUAGUUCGGAAUAACCCAGGGAAACUUGGGCUAAUACCGGAUACGCCCUUCGGGGGAAAGAUUUAUCGCUAAAGGAUCGGCCCGCGUAAGAUUAGCUAGUUGGUGAGGUAACGGCUCACCAAGGAUAUGAUCUUUAGCUGUUCUGAGAGGAAGAUCAGCCACACUGGGACUGAGACACGGCCAAGACUCCUCCGGGAGGCAGCAGUGGGGAAUAUUGGACAAUGGGCGCAAGCCUGAUCCAGCCAUGCCGCGUGAGUGAUGAAGGCCUUAGGGUUGUAAAGCUCUUUUACCAGGGAAGAUAAUGACGGUACCUGGAGAAUAAGCCCCGGCUAACUUCGUGCCAGCCGCCGCGGUAAGAC